UUUGCGGCGCAGUGUCUUAUU
rnacentral:piRNA from 1 species